rnacentral:rRNA from 1 species
CUGAAACCGUGUACGUACAAGCAGUGGGAGCACGCUUAGGCGUGUGACUGCGUACCUUUUGUAUAAUGGGUCAGCGACUUAUAUUCUGUAGCAAGGUUAACCGAAUAGGGGAGCCGAAGGGAAACCGAGUCUUAACUGGGCGUUAAGUUGCAGGGUAUAGACCCGAAACCCGGUGAUCUAGCCAUGGGCAGGUUGAAGGUUGGGUAACACUAACUGGAGGACCGAACCGACUAAUGUUGAAAAAUUAGCGGAUGACUUGUGGCUGGGGGUGAAAGGCCAAUCAAACCGGGAGAUAGCUGGUUCUCCCCGAAAGCUAUUUAGGUAGCGCCUCGUGAAUUCAUCUCCGGGGGUAGAGCACUGUUUCGGCAAGGGGGUCAUCCCGACUUACCAACCCGAUGCAAACUGCGAAUACCGGAGAAUGUUAUCACGGGAGACACACGGCGGGUGCUAACGUCCGUCGUGAAGAGGGAAACAACCCAGACCGCCAGCUAAGGUCCCAAAGUCAUGGUUAAGUGGGAAACGAUGUGGGAAGGCCCAGACAGCCAGGAUGUUGGCUUAGAAGCAGCCAUCAUUUAAAGAAAGCGUAAUAGCUCACUGGUCGAGUCGGCCUGCGCGGAAGAUGUAACGGGGCUAAACCAUGCAC